UAGGGGGCAAGCGUUAUCCGGAUUUACUGGGUGUAAAGGGAGCGUAGACGGCUGAGCAAGUCAGAAGUGAAAGCCCGGGGCUCAACCCCGGGACUGCUUUUGAAACUGCGGAGCUGGAGUGCAGGAGAGGUAAGCGGAAUUCCUGGUGUAGCGGUGAAAUGCGUAGAUAUCAGGAGGAACACCAGUGGCGAAGGCGGCUUACUGGACUGUAACUGACGUUGAGGCUCGAAAGCGUGGGGAGCAA
rnacentral:rRNA from 1 species